rnacentral:rRNA from 1 species
AUUGAACGCUGGCGGCAGGCCUAACACAUGCAAGUCGAGCGGAUGAAGGGAGCUUGCUCCUGGAUUCAGCGGCGGACGGGUGUGUAAUGCCUAGGAAUCUGCCUGGUAGUGGGGGAUAACGUCCGGAAACGGGCGCUAAUACCGCAUACGUCCUGAGGGAGAAAGUGGGGGAUCUUCGGACCUCACGCUAUCAGAUGAGCCUAGGUCGGAUUAGCUAGUUGGUGGGGUAAAGGCCUACCAAGGCGACGAUCCGUAACUGGUCUGAGAGGAUGAUCAGUCACACUGGAACUGAGACACGGUCCAGACUCCUACGGGAGGCAGCAGUGGGGAAUAUUGGACAAUGGGCGAAAGCCUGAUCCAGCCAUGCCGCGUGUGUGAAGAAGGUCUUCGGAUUGUAAAGCACUUUAAGUUGGGAGGAAGGGCAGUAAGUUAAUACCUUGCUGUUUUGACGUUACCAACAAAAUAAGCACCGGCUAACUUCGUG